rnacentral:misc_RNA from 1 species
GUGGUGUUUGGAUUGUCUCUGCCGGCUGGCUCUGUGCUCGCCCAUCGAACGGUCGGCAGGCGAUCCGUGUCGCUUUGUUGUGAGGUAGGAUGGUGCCUCAGAGGCUGGUUCUUGUGCUGCCUACCCUCUCACUGGAAGAGGCCAAUUGACGGUUAGCCUCCAUCCGGCGCCCUCCCGAUCGGGCGCAGGAGGACAACGGAUCACCCCUCGUGUUCCACCGAGCCCUCACGGGUCGCGUGGCCCACGGGGACGUGCGACGCUCUCGGACCCAGCGCACGCCGCGGACGCGGACUCGAUUCCCGUCCCGAGAGAAGCUUCGGUAUUAAUGUAUGACGGCCGCUCCCGCCCCUUGACAGCCCCUGCGGCGCAAGGGCGGCGCGCGACGUCGCGGAGGACUGCUACCUGGUUGAUCCUGCCAGUAGUCAUAUGCUUGU